AUUGAACGCUGGCGGCAGGCCUAACACAUGCAAGUCGAGCGGGGUUUUCGGACCUAGCGGCGGACGGGUGAGUAAUGCGUAGGAAGCUACCCGAUAGAGGGGGAUACCAGUUGGAAACGACUGUUAAUACUGCAUAAUGUCUACGGACCAAAGCGUGGGACCUUCGGGCCACAUGCUAUCGGAGGCGCCUACGUGGGAUUAGCUAGUUGGUGAGGUAAUGGCUCACCAAGGCGACGAUCCCUAGCUGGUUUGAGAGGAUGAUCAGCCACACUGGAACUGAGACACGGUCCAGACUCCUACGGGAGGCAGCAGUGGGGAAUAUUGGACAACGGGCGCAAGCCUGAUCCAGCCAUGCCGCGUGUGUGAAGAAGGCCUUCGGGUUGUAAAGCACUUUCAGUAGGGAGGAAGCGUUGUGUGUUAAUAGUACACAGCGUUGACGUUACCUACAGAAGAAGCACCGGCUAACUCUGUGCCAGCCGCCGCGGUAAAAC
rnacentral:rRNA from 1 species